CCUACGGGUGGCAGCAGUGAGGAAUAUUGGUCAAUGGCCGGAAGGCUGAACCAGCCAAGUCGCGUGCGGGACGACUGCCCUAUGGGUUGUAAACCGCUUUUAUAAGGGAAGAAUAAACGCUACGUGUAGCACUUUGCCUGUACCUUAUGAAUAAGCAUCGGCAAAUUCCGUGCCAGCAGCCGCGGUAAUACGGAGGAUGCGAGCGUUAUCCGGAUUUAUUGGGUUUAAAGGGUGCGUAGGCGGUUUUUCAAGGUAGUGGUAAAAGGUCGGGGCUACACCUGGACUUGCAAGUAGUACUGUAAGGCUCGAGUUCAGAGGAGGUAGGCGGAAUUAGUUAAGUAGCGGUGAAAUGCUUAGAUAUGACUUAGAACCCCGAUAGCGAAGGCAGCUUACCAGACUGCGACUGACGCUGAAGCUCGAGAGCGUGGGUAGCGAACAGGAUUAGAUACCCCGGUAGUC
rnacentral:rRNA from 1 species